GACGAACGCUGGCGGCGUGCUUAACACAUGCAAGUCGAACGGAAAGGCCCUGCUUUUGUGGGGUGCUCGAGUGGCGAACGGGUGAGUAACACGUGAGUAACCUGCCCUUGACUUUGGGAUAACUUCAGGAAACUGGGGCUAAUACCGGAUAGGAGCUCCUGCUGCAUGGUGGGGGUUGGAAAGUUUCGGCGGUUGGGGAUGGACUCGCGGCUUAUCAGCUCGUUGGUGGGGUAGUGGCUUACCAAGGCUUUGACGGGUAGCCGGCCUGAGAGGGUGACCGGCCACAUUGGGACUGAGAUACGGCCCAGACUCCUACGGGAGGCAGCAGUGGGGAAUAUUGCACAAUGGGCGGAAGCCUGAUGCAGCAACGCCGCGUGCGGGAUGACGGCCUUCGGGUUGUAAACCGCUUUCGCCUGUGACGAAGCGUGAGUGACGGUAAUGGGUAAAGAAGCACCGGCUAACUACGUGCCAGCAGCCGCGGUGAUACGUAGGGUGCGAGCGUUGUCCGGAUUUAUCGGGCGUAAAGGGCUCGUAGGUGGUUGAUCGCGUCGGAAGUGUAAUCUUGGGGCUUAACCCUGAGCGUGCUUUCGAUACGGGUUGACUUGAGGAAGGUAGGGGAGAAUGGAAUUCCUGGUGGAGCGGUGGAAUGCGCAGAUAUCAGGAGGAACACCAGUGGCGAAGGCGGUUCUCUGGGCCUUUCCUGACGCUGAGGAGCGAAAGCGUGGGGAGCGAACAGGCUUAGAUACCCUGGUAGUCCACGCUGUAAACGGUGGGUACUAGGUGUGGGGUCCAUUCCACGGGUUCCGUGCCGUAGCUAACGCUUUAAGUACCCCGCCUGGGGAGUACGGCCGCAAGGCUAAAACUCAAAGGAAUUGACGGGGCCCCGCACAAGCGGCGGAGCAUGCGGAUUAAUUCGAUGCAACGCGUAGAACCUUACCUGGGUUUGACAUGGAUCGGGAGUGCUCAGAGAUGGGUGUGCCUCUUUUGGGGUCGGUUCACAGGUGGUGCAUGGCUGUCGUCAGCUCGUGUCGUGAGAUGUUGGGUUAAGUCCCGCAACGAGCGCAACCCUUGUUCACUGUUGCCAGCACGUUAUGGUGGGGACUCAGUGGAGACCGCCGGGGUCAACUCGGAGGAAGGUGGGGAUGACGUCAAGUCAUCAUGCCCCUUAUGUCCAGGGCUUCACGCAUGCUACAAUGGCUGGUACAGAGAGUGGCGAGCCUGUGAGGGUGAGCGAAUCUCGGAAAGCCGGUCUCAGUUCGGAUUGGGGUCUGCAACUCGACCUCAUGAAGUCGGAGUCGCUAGUAAUCGCAGAUCAGCAACGCUGCGGUGAAUACGUUCCCGGG
rnacentral:rRNA from 1 species